rnacentral:tRNA from 1 species
GAGUGCGUCGUCCUAAUGGUUAAGACAGCUGACUUUUAAUCAGUUUAUACAGGUUCGAUUCCUGUCGUACUCA